CACUGGGCAAACGGAUGGUAUAGGGGUUGGCCAUAUGCUCAGAGGAAAACAUGAUGAUCUGGCGUGAAGAUGAUGACAGUGAUGAUGACAAUGAUGAUGUUGGAGGUUAUGUGCCUGCUCUACUACUUGCAUACUAGCUGUGUGACCUUGGGCAGAUAUUCAACCUCUCUGAAUCCUCUUUCUCAUCUCUGAGAUCAAGAUAUUCUAUACUUCACCUAAUAACUGUGGAAUGAUGUAUGUGAAAGUGCUUUAUGAACUUUUUUGGAUUAGAUGGAGUACUCUAGUUCCAUCUCAGGAGCCAUGUGCCACUCACUCACAUUUCCCUAUGCCCUUUCCCCCCGUUUCCUUCUCUUUUCCUGCCCUAACCCUUUCCUCCCUCUCUGUAUUCUCUUUGAAGUUGUUUAUUUAUUUCAGCACUUAAGGUAAAGGCAUGCAGUCAUCCAUUAGUGUAGUUUGUCCCCAGAUUUCUUCCCCACUGGGCCUGUCACUAGUUUAAGGCACUGAAAGCCAGGGAGGAGAGAAACAGUUUAAAAAUUCAUUGAAACACAGCUUAAAGCAAGACAACCUACAUGACUGUAACUGUGAAAUAAUCACAGGAAAGAGAGUAACUUCUUUACCUGCUUGAAGGAAUAGUGUUCUCUUUAAGUGAAAGCAAUAUGCAAAAGCAGAUCUCCUAGAGUGACACACACCUGCAAUGCUGGCUUUAGUUUCAGCAGUCAGUAAACAUUUAUCCAACAGUAACACUGGUACCAGGCAGGAAGAUCUAAAAGAUGAAACUAAGUCAUUUGCUUUCAGGAUCCUAUAUUCAGGUAUAAAACUUAGAGAAACAAAUGCAUGUUUAGUAGGAAGAUAUGUUAUUAGCAUAUCAACAUACACAUACACCCCAGUAAUUAUAUAAAUUUAUUGUGUUUGAAUAACAAACCAAUGGGAUACUUUAGAGAGUCUUCUGAGUGCUGUAAACAUUGUUUGACUUCUUAAAGUGCUGGUUUUUUUAGCAUGCAGGUACAUAUUACAAGUAAUAAUUGAAGUCAAAUGCAGAAAAAUGUUUAAAAAUAGGAAAUACAAACUUUGAAAACUUAAUGUAGUUUAAAUCGGCACAACUGAGUCAUUAGGAUUGCUCAGACUGUAUUCCCCAAAUAGCCCCCUUCACAUGUUCUUAAAAAGAAGUUAUAUAAAAUAAUGGCCUUUGCUUUUUUAAGCCUCUAGCUGCACUUACUGUUCAAACAUAAAGGCCCUGCAUUUUUGGAAUAAGUCAUCACAAAUGAGACACGUAUAGCUUAAGGUCACACACACACUUGCCACACACUUUCAGAAUUCUAAAAUCCACUAAAGACCUAGAAGCAAUGUCUCAUCGGAUGUUUCCAACUUAAAGGGCCUGUGAGUUUCAUUCCAUUGUAAAGCAUGAGCCAUAUUACAUGGAUCACUAGUUUUGCUUUUUAGUUUAUCACAUGGCUCGUAUUUCUCUCUGCAUCUUAUGCAUCAGCCUUAGCGACUGAAAUGACCUGGGGCCCAAGAAAGCUCAAGAUGCCACUUGUGGCUUGUCCCGUGGGUCCCGUGGUUUUGUGAGUUCCCUUUAACAGACUAUCUUCCUCUUUUCAGUGAAUAUUUUGGAAAUGUUUCAUUUAGUAAAGUGAAAAUCCUUGUCAGAAUCAGCACAGAUUAAAAUCCGGGCUAAGAGGGCAUAAAGAAAUGCUUUCUGGUCAGGGAAACUGGCUAUAUAAGAGGCUGUGUUCGUGAAAAGAAGAAAUGGUAGAAAACUUCCCUCAAAUGGUAAUGGGAAAUGGGUCAAGUCCUACAGGUAUUGUUUUAAUUCACUGCUCCGUGAGAACCACAAACAGCUGGUUAAAGAUUGAGCCCACCAACACUGUUAGAAAAGCAACUAUGGUUGGAUUUUCUUUCCUGCUCAGCUGGGCUAUUAUUAUGAAAAAUAAGGAGAACCAUUAAUGCAAAGUUUAGCUACCAAGAAACCCUCAGGAGGAGGGAGGGAGGGAAGGAGGGAAGGGGGGGGAGAGAGAGAGAGAGAGAGAGAGAGAGAGAGAGAGAGAGAGCGCGCCAGUGCCAGCGCCCUCCAUGGAUCAAAAUAUAAAGGAUAGAGUAAAAACAGCUACUUCCUAAAAUUUUAGCAUCACCGAGCUUCUAGUGCCAUGUUCUCUUUUCUCCGUGAGUGAAUUGGCCAGUUAUGACACGUUGCUAUCAUUGCCAGUGUUGCCUUUUUCUGGGCCUAGGAAUCUAGUCUGGCUUCUCAUGUUUUUUGCUUCUUGCCUCUUAUUUUCUUUUAGUGUGUAUCUGUUUUAUUGCUUGUGAACAUUUUCAUCAGAGGAGAAAAGAAGGAGAUGGAGAAACCAUUUAUCGAAGACUUACCAUGUACCCUGCAUUAUAUGUACAUGAGAGAUACAGUAACAAUCCUAGAUACAAUCCUAGGAGGAAGUUGGGAACCACAAAUUGACAGAUUGUUUUUCUGCAUAAUAGAAGCAAACCUUCCAUCAUGUUAUGACUCAGCAAGAAGGCCCUUGCCAGAUGCAGGUGCUUUGACCUUGAACUUCUCAGCCUCCAGAACUGUGAGAAAUAAAUUACUUUUCUUUAUAAAUU
rnacentral:lncRNA from 1 species